GACGAACGCUGGCGGCGUGCCUAAUACAUGCAAGUAGAACGCUGAAGGAGGAGCUUGCUUCUCUGGAUGAGUUGCGAACGGGUGAGUAACGCGUAGGUAACCUGCCUGGUAGCGGGGGAUAACUAUUGGAAACGAUAGCUAAUACCGCAUAACAGUAGAUAUCGCAUGAUAUCUACUUGAAAGGUGCAAUUGCAUCACUACCAGAUGGACCUGCGUUGUAUUAGCUAGUUGGUGAGGUAACGGCUCACCAAGGCGACGAUACAUAGCCGACCUGAGAGGGUGAUCGGCCACACUGGGACUGAGACACGGCCCAGACUCCUACGGGAGGCAGCAGUAGGGAAUCUUCGGCAAUGGACGGAAGUCUGACCGAGCAACGCCGCGUGAGUGAAGAAGGUUGUCGGAUCGUAAAGCUCUGUUGUAAGAGAAGAACGAGUGUGAGAGUGGAAAAUUCACACUGUGACGGUAUCUUACCAGAAAGGGACGGCUAACUACGUG
rnacentral:rRNA from 1 species